GCUGGUGUGGCUCAAUGGAUAGAGUGUCAGCCUGCGGACUGAAAGGUUCAGGGUUCAAUUCCUGCCAAGGGCA
rfam:Myotis brandtii contig299253, whole genome shotgun sequence.